rnacentral:tRNA from 4 species
UAUUCUGAAUUGCCAUUAUUAACUAAUUUCUAAUAUGGCAGAUUAGUGCAAUGGAUUUAAGCUCCAUAUAUAAAGUAUUUUACUUUUAUUAGA